UGUGGGAGCGAGCCUGCUCGCGAUAGCGGUGGGUCAGUUGCAGGGAUGCUGCUGACAUACCGCCAUCGCGAGCAGGCUCGCUCCCACA
rnacentral:misc_RNA from 1 species